GGAGGUGUGGGUGAUCUGACAGCUACAUCUGUCAUCCUACUGAUUGCCAAGGUUGAUCCGGCUAAUCUGGUUAAAUAGGCUGGUGUUCCCUUCCUCUCUCACAGCUCCAUGAGUGUCCCUUUCCAAGCUGAGUGCUCCUCGGAAGAGACAAACCAGUGAAGAGCAUAUAAAUAGCUGUGCUCCCCUGCUAGAAUGUGCAAGCAAGCUCUCAAGGAAAGAUCUUAACCCACCCCACCCUACCCUAACCCACCCCACCCU
rnacentral:snRNA from 1 species